UACGUAGGGGGCUAGCGUUGUCCGGAAUCAUUGGGCGUAAAGCGCGUGUAGGCGGUUCGGUAAGUCCGCUGUGAAAGUCGGGGGCUCAACCCUCGGAUGCCGGUGGAUACUGUCGGGCUUGAGUACGGAAGAGGCGAGUGGAAUUCCUGGUGUAGCGGUGAAAUGCGGCAGAUAUCAGGAGGAACACCAAUUGCGAAGGCAGCUCGCUGGGACGUUACUGACGCUGGAGACGCGAAAGCGUGGGGAGCAAACAGG
rnacentral:rRNA from 1 species